AUGCACCGUUCCACUGCAGAACAGACAAGAAUUCCCUUUGGCCAGUGACAACGAGGUGUAAACAAGAAAGCAGAAACAUUUCUGUAUAUAAACGAUUGACAGAUAAGAUAGAUAACCCAUAAAUAAACACAUAGGAAGGUUAAACACGGAGUUAAUGUGUGAAUGAUAAACAUCUGUGAUAAUAACAGUUCACGUGAAAGUGAGAACAUAAAGCAGAUUUUGAUUUAUUUUUUAAUUUUUUAUUUUUUUUACAGCUCAGGGAAAAACGAUGCCAUUUACAGAAAGAAGAUGGAUACUUAAUAAAUAACACUGUUUCUCUUUGGACAAAUAUAUUUAUUCAUAAUAUAAAAAAAUAAUGAAAACUAAAAAAGAAAUAAAAAAAAAUGGUGGUAGAAAUAACAUGGUAGAUAGUAAGUACAGUGUUUAACUGUAUAAAUUAUAAAAACACAAACCAAAUGUAUAAAUAAAACAUCUAGAACUGAACUAAAUGUAUACUUUUGUCUCUUUAAAAAAUAUAUAUAAGCAUGUGGACUGUACAGUAUGAACAUGGUUCCAGGCCCUUGGACUGUCCUUCUGGUGCAGACCAGGCAGGCAGAUAGAUAGACAGUCUACCAACCAAUAAGGAGGGGAGGAAGAUAAGACUAUCCACCAAUGAGGAGGACAGGUGGAUAUGAUAGACAGUCUAUCCAACCAAUAAGGAGGGGAGGAAGAUAAGACUAUCCACCAAUGAGGAGGACAGAUGGAUAUGAUAGACAGUCUAUCCAACCAAUAAGGAGGGGAGGAAGAUAAGACUAUCCACCAAUGAGGAGGACAGGUGGAUAUGAUAGACAGUCUAUCCAACCAAUAAGGAGGGGAGGAAGAUAAGACUAUCCACCAAUGAGGAGGACAGGUGGAUAUGAUAGACAGCCUAUCCAUCCAAUAAGGAGGACAGAUGGAUAUGAUAGACAGCCUAUCCAUCCAAUAAGGAGGACAGGUGGAUAUGAUAGACAGACUAUCCACCAAUGAGGAGGACAGGUGGAUAUGAUAGACAGACUAUCCACCAAUGAGGAGGACAGGUGGAUAUGAUAGACAGCCUAUCCAUCCAAUAAGGAGGACAGGUGGAUAUGAUAGACAGCCUAUCCAUCCAAUAAGGAGGACAGAUGGAUAUGAUAGACAGCCUAUCCAUCCAAUAAGGAGGACAGAUGGAUAUGAUAGACAGACUAUCCACCAAUGAGGAGGACAGGUGGAUAUGAUAGACAGACUAUCCACCAAUGAGGAGGACAGGUGGAUAUGAUAGACAGCCUAUCCAUCCAAUAAGGAGGACAGGUGGAUAUGAUAGACAGCCUAUCCAUCCAAUAAGGAGGACAGGUGGAUAUGAUAGACAGCCUAUCCAUCCAAUAAGGAGGACAGGUGGAUAUGAUAGACAGCCUAUCC